rnacentral:rRNA from 1 species
UACGUAGGGCGCAAGCGUUAUCCGGAAUUAGUGGGCGUAAAGAGCUCGUAGGCGGUUUGUCGCGUCUGCUGUGAAAUCCCGAGGCUCAACCUCGGGCCUGCAGUGGGUACGGGCAGACUAGAGUGCGGUAGGGGAGAUUGGAAUUCCUGGUGUAGCGGUGGAAUGCGCAGAUAUCAGGAGGAACACCGAUGGCGAAGGCAGAUCUCUGGGCCGUAACUGACGCUGAGGAGCGAAAGGGUGGGGAGCAAACAGG